GACGAACGCUGGCGGCGUGCUUAACACAUGCAAGUCGAACGGAAAGGCCCUGCUUGCAGGGUACUCGAGUGGCGAACGGGUGAGUAACACGUGGGUGAUCUGCCCUGCACUUCGGGAUAAGCCUGGGAAACUGGGUCUACUACCGGAUAGGAGCCAGUUUUAGUGUGAUGGUUGGAAAGUUUUUUCGGUGUAGGAUGAGCUCGCGGCCUAUCAGCUUGUUGGUGGGGUAAUGGCCUACCAAGGCGGCGACGGGUAGCCGGCCUGAGAGGGUGGACGGCCACAUUGGGUCUGAGAUACGGCCCAGACUCCUACGGGAGGCAGCAGUGGGGAAUAUUGCACAAUGGGCGCAAGCCUGAUGCAGCGACGCCGCGUGGGUGAUGACGGCCUUCGGGUUGUAAACUCCUUUCGCUAGGGACGAAGCUUUUUGUGACGGUACCUAGAUAAGAAGCACCGGCUAACUACGUG
rnacentral:rRNA from 1 species